GUGGGGAAUAUUGGACAAUGGGCGAAAGCCUGAUCCAGCAAUGCCGCGUGGGUGAAGACGGCCUGCGGGUUGUAAAGCCCUUUAGGUGGGGAGGAAAGGCGGGACGUGAACAGCGUUUCGCACUGACGUUACCCACGGAAUAAGCACCGGCUAACUCCGUGCCAGCAGCCGCGGUAAUACGGAGGGUGCGAGCGUUAAUCGGAAUUACUGGGCGUAAAGCGUGCGUAGGCGGUUUGGUCAGUCAGCCGUGAAAGCCCCGGGCUUAACCUGGGAACGGCGGUUGAGACGGCCAGACUUGAGUGGGCUAGAGGAUCGUGGAAUUCCCGGUGUAGCAGUGAAAUGCGUAGAGAUCGGGAGGAACACCGAUGGCGAAGGCAGCGAUCUGGGGCCACACUGACGCUGAGGCACGAAGGCGUGGGGAGCAAACAGGAUUAGAAACCCCUGUAGUCC
rnacentral:rRNA from 1 species